rnacentral:rRNA from 1 species
UUAAGCUUGGCGCCCGUAGCUAACGUGAUAAAUCGACCGCCUGGGGAGUACGGCCGCAAGGUUAAAACUCAAAUGAAUUGACGGGGGCCCGCACAAGCGGUGGAGCAUGUGGUUUAAUUCGAUGCAACGCGAAGAACCUUACCUGGUCUUGACAUCCACGGAAGUUUUCAGAGAUGAGAAUGUGCCUUCGGGAACCGUGAGACAGGUGCUGCAUGGCUGUCGUCAGCUCGUGUUGUGAAAUGUUGGGUUAAGUCCCGCAACGAGCGCAACCCUUAUCCUUUGUUGCCAGCGGUCCGGCCGGGAACUCAAAGGAGACUGCCAGUGAUAAACUGGAGGAAGGUGGGGAUGACGUCAAGUCAUCAUGGCCCUUACGACCAGGGCUACACACGUGCUACAAUGGCGCAUACAAAGAGAAGCGACCUCGCGAGAGCAAGCGGACCUCAUAAAGUGCGUCGUAGUCCGGAUUGGAGUCUGCAACUCGACUCCAUGAAGUCGGAAUCGCUAGUAAUCGUGGAUCAGAAUGCCACGGUGAAUACGUUCCCGGGCCUUGUACACACCGCCCGUCACACCAUGGGAGUGGGUUGCAAAAGAAGUAGGUAGCUUAACCUUCGGGAGGGCGCUUACCACUUUGUGAUUCAUGACUGGGGUGAAGUCGUAACAAGGUAACCGUAGGGGAACCUGCGGUUG